rnacentral:rRNA from 1 species
ACAGAGGUGGCAAGCGUUGUUCGGAAUUACUGGGCGUAAAGGGCUCGUAGGCGGCCAACUAAGUCAUACGUGAAAUCCCUCAGCUUAACUGGGGAACUGCGUGUGAGACUGGAUGGCUUGAGUUUGGGAGAGGAAUGCGGAAUUCCAGGUGUAGCGGUGAAAUGCGUAGAUAUCUGGAGGAACACCGGUGGCGAAGGCGGCAUUCUGGACCAACACUGACGCUGAGGAGCGAAAGCCAGGGGAGCAAACGGGA